UACAUUCUGUUAAAGAAAGAAGGAGUA
rnacentral:piRNA from 1 species